rnacentral:rRNA from 1 species
GAUGAACGCUGGCGGCGUGCCUAAUACAUGCAAGUCGAGCGAACAGACGAGGAGCUUGCUCCUCUGACGUUAGCGGCGGACGGGUGAGUAACACGUGGAUAACCUACCUGUAAGACUGGGAUAACUUCGGGACACCGGAGCUAAUACCGGAUAAUAUAUUGAACCGCAUGGUUCAAUAGUGAAAGACGGUUUUGCUGUCACUUAUCGAUGGAUCCGCGCCGCAUUAGCUAGUUGGUAAGGUAACGGCUUACCAAGGCAAGGAUGCGUAGCCGACCUGAGAGAGGGAUAGGCCGCCCUGGAAGGGAGACAGGGUCCAGAGGACUGAGGGAGGCAGCAGACGGGUAUCUGCCGCAAUGGGCGAAAGCAUUACGCAGUAACGCGGAGCGAGAUAUGACGGCGUUCGGAGCGUAAAACUCUCCUAUGAGGGAAGAACAAAUGUGUAAGUAAAUAUGCCGGGAGUGACGGUACCUAAUAAGAAAGCAACGGCUAACUACGUG